GUAACUCUCUAUUUAUAAUAAUUUUAAUUUUGCUUAAAGGUAGCAACCGAGAGAUUAAUUAAAAGAGUGAUAUUAAGCUUGAGGGUUUAAGAAGAACUUUUACGGAUUAAUAAUUUUUAACUAAAGAAUGUAGGGACUAAAUGACGAAAUGAAAAGAAAAGGAAAGAAAAGAAAGGAAAGGAGAAGAAGGAAAGAGAAUGAGGAAAAUAAGUAACUCUCUAUUUAUAAUAAUUUUAAUUUAGCUUAAAGGUAGCAACCGAGGGCUUAAUUAAAAGAGUGAUAUUAAGCUUGAGGGUUUAAGAAGAACUUUUAGGGAUUAAUAAUCUUUAACUAAAGAAUGUAGGGAUUAAAUGAUGAAAUGAAAAGAAAAAGAAAGAAAAGAAAGGAAAGGAGAAGAAGGAGACAAGGAAGAGAAUGAGGAAAAUAAGUAACUCUCUAUUUAUAAUAAUUUUAAUUUGGCUUAAAUGUAGUAACCUAGGGCUUAACUUAAAGAGUGAUAUUAAGCUUGAGGGUUUAAGAAGAACUUUCAGGGAUUAAAAAUCUUUAACUAAAGAAUGUAGGGACUAAAUAGCGAUAUGAAAAGAAAAAGAAAGAAAAAAAAAGGAAAGGAGAAGAAGGAGACGAGAAAGAGAAUGAGGGAAAUUUGAGAUGCCUUUAAUGGCAAAUGGUGGAGGAGCUCAUUUGAGGUGCAUUAAAGCUGGCUGUCGAAGCAGCUGAGUUGGCGAGCAUGGCAGCAGCACCGGCGGUAGUGAACGACAGCGUCAAGUAGCAGAAAAACUGAAAGAAUUGGCAGCGGCUUCUUCGACGCAGUCCAUGGCUUUUCCGGCGAUGGCAACAGCUGCAUCUAGUGACGAUCAACUCGCCUGAGAAUGGGCUUCCAUUUGGGGGUAGCAGCGGUGGCAAUGUAGCAGAAAGAGAGAGAUCUGACAAAGAAAGAUUUGUAUAGGCAGCUGGGAUUUUGGACUUUUCCGGCCAUCUCUGAUGAGUUAUAGCUGAUCGGAGUUCAUGGAUGAACUCCCCUUGUCACAAGUUUUCCAAUUGCAUUAAUUUUCCAGUGGUCGGACUUUGUUAGUAAAUCGACGGUUGAAAUUGUUUGUGAUGUAUCGGAAUGAUCAGGGACUGGAUCGGAGAAUCAUAUGCUAGAAUCAUCGUUUGCACAUUGUCUCUAGUCCGUAGGCACGCUUGAAUCGUUGAUUGGACUCCGACAGUUGAAGGCGAGUCGACAAGCGUCUCGAUAAUCUAUCGUUUCAGUCCGCUCUACCUGAGGCUUAGGAGUAGAGCAAGAGGGUCAUCAGAACUGUGAGUUAAAGUCAUAUAUCUGCUAUACAUGUGUCAAUGCUAAAAUUUUAUAUAGCAAUUUCGAUUGAUUAAUUUAUAGAUUUAAAUUAUUUAUUUAUUUAUUAUUCAUCUAAAUAAUUAUUUUAUGGAAUUAAUCUAUUUACUAUUUAUAUAUCAUUUUCCACAUCAUUAAUAUUAUAAUUGCAUAUUGACUCGGGAUGAGACGACAAUAGAACAUGCUACCUGAUAGGUUGCAUCAGGACUGUGUGCGCACCGGUAUAGAUUCGAGACAGGUAGUAAAAGAAUAUUUUUAAGACUAGCUUUAGUCGAGUUCAACUCUUUGAUGAGAUGACAAUAGAACAUGCUACCUGAUGGGUUACAUCAGGGACUGCGUGCGAACUAUUAUAGAUCCGAGACAGGUCGUAAAAGAAUAUUUUUGAGACUAGCCCUGAUCAAGUGUUGCUCUCUGUGAGCCAACUUUAUUGAGAAUCAAGUGAUUAGACUGGAUUCAAGGAUCCUGGUCGAGCUCCGCUCUUUGGAUGCCAGUCCUAUUAGAGUGAGAGAGCCAAAAGGCUGUUAGUAUUGGGGUUGGGGUUUUGCUGAAGUACUCGUCCCACAACGUCUAAAUUAUAUUUUGCUGAAUCAUGGCAUGAUAUGCGUUUUAAAAUGAUAUAAUACUUUAUUCUGAUUAAAUAAAUAUUUUAUUGAGAUAGUUGUAUGUAUUUUCUUUUUAGAUUAUAUGAUUUUAACUCACUAUCGAGACUAACAGUCUCAAAUUUAAUUAUUUUUCAAGUGUUUGUUAGUUUUUCCGCAGUUGUCUCCUCUGGCAGCCCGACUUCCUUCAUCUUCGGGUUUAAUGUAACUAAUUUUAUUUGUAUGUUUGGUUUUUAGAGUUCUAGAUUCUCCGCAGUAGUGAUUUCAAAAUUUAUUAUUUUGUUUUGGCAUGUUAAACCAGGUAUUGCCUAAUAUGUGCUGACAGACUGUAGUAUCUGGAUGGUUGAAAGUUGGUUAUGCAAAAUUAUUAUAAUGGAUAGAAUUUGAAUUAUACUUUGAUUAAGUUAGUGAAUGGUCAGGUUUGCUACGGGUUUCGGUGGCGUUACACCUACCCGUUCCCUAGCGCCGGUCACGGGUCCACAGAUCGUAUCGUGACAAAGUUUUAAAAAUGUUAAACUAGAUUCUUUUGGGUAUUUAAUGAUCUAUUAUAUUUUGUAGGAAUUUUUUUAAAUCUUUUAUUAAUAGAUGUCUUAUAUUUUCAACAUUGUU